AUUGAACGCUGGCGGCAGGCUUAACACAUGCAAGUCGAGCGAGCGGCGGACGGGUGAGUAAUGUCUGGGAAACUGCCUGAUGGAGGGGGCUAAAUACUGGAAAAGGUAGCUAAUAACGCAUACCAUCAGAUGUGCCCAGAUGGGAUUAGCUAGUAGUGGGGGUAAUGGCUCACCUAGGCGGCGAACCCUCGCUGGUCUGAGAGGAUGACCAGCCCCACUGGAACUGAACCACGGUCCAGAAUCCUACGGGAGGCAGCAGUGGGGAAGAUUGCACAAUGGGCGCAAGCCUGAUACAGCCAUGCGGCUGGUGGGAAGAAGGCCUCCGGGUUUUAAAGCACUUUCAGCGAGGAGGCGUUACUCGCAGAAGAAGCACCGGCUAACUCCGUGCCAGCAGCCGCGGUAAUAC
rnacentral:rRNA from 1 species